UCUCCGUAGGUGAACCUGCGGAGGGAUCACUACAGGCUUGCAAAAGCUCUGAAACCACUGUUUAUCUACCUGAAUCUGCUUCGGCGGGCGGGCCCAGGGCGGGGCCGUAGCCGCAAGGCGCCCGCCGAAGACCCCUAAACUCUGUCCUCUUGAGAAUCUCUGAGUAUCAUAUUAAACAGAAAACAACUUUCAACAACGGAUCUCUUGGCUCUG
rnacentral:misc_RNA from 1 species